rnacentral:rRNA from 1 species
UCCUACGGGAGGCAGCAGCGGGGGAUAUUGCACAAUGGGGGAAACCCUGAUGCAGCGACUCCGCGUUCUUGCCGAAGUAUUUCGGUACGUAAAGCUCUAUCAGCAGGGAAGGAUAAUGACGGUACCUGACUAAGAAGCCCCGGCUAACUACGUGCCAGCAGCCGCGGUAAUACGUAGGGGGCAAGCGUUAUCCGGAUUUACUGGGUGUAAAGGGAGCGUAGACGGCUGUGCAAGUCUGAAGUGAAAUGCCGGGGCCCAACCCCGGAACUGCUUUGGAAACUGUACAGCUAGAGUGCAGGAGGGGG